rnacentral:rRNA from 1 species
GACCCUACCUGUAGAAGAAGCCCCGGCUAACUUCGUGCCAGCAGCCGCGGUAAUACGAAGGGGGCUAGCGUUGCUCGGAAUUACUGGGCGUAAAGGGCGCGUAGGCGGCUUAGUCAGUCAGGCGUGAAAUUCCUGGGCUUAACCUGGGGUCUGCGUUUGAGACGGCUAGGCUAGAGGGUAGGAGAGGGUCGUGGAAUUCCCAGUGUAGAGGUGAAAUUCGUAGAUAUUGGGAAGAACACCGGUGGCGAAGGCGGCGACCUGGCCUAUUACUGACGCUGAGGCGCGACAGCGUGGGGAGCAAACAGGAUUAGAUACCCUGGUAGUCCACGCCGUAAACGAUGUGCGCUGGAUGUUGGGGCCCAUAGGGUCUCAGUGUCGUAGCUAACGCGGUAAGCGCACCGCCUGGGGAGUACGGCCGCAAGGUUGAAACUC